rnacentral:rRNA from 1 species
UCUGCCCGCUGGCGGCGUGCCUAAUACAUGCAAGUCGAGCGAACGGACGAGAAGCUUGCUUCUCUGAUGUUAGCGGCGGACGGGUGAGUAACACGUGGAUAACCUACCUAUAAGACUGGGAUAAAUUCGGGAAACCGGAGCUAAUACCGGAUAAUAUUUUGAACCGCAUGGUUCAAAAGUGAAAGACGGUCUUGCUGUCACUUAUAGAUGGAUCCGCGCUGCAUUAGCUAGUUGGUAAGGUAACGGCUUACCAAGGCAACGAUGCAUAGCCGACCUGAGAGGGUGAUCGGCCACACUGGAACUGAGACACGGUCCAGACUCCUACGGGAGGCAGCAGUAGGGAAUCUUCCGCAAUGGGCGAAAGCCUGACGGAGCAACGCCGCGUGAGUGAUGAAGGUCUUCGGAUCGUAAAACUCUGUUAUUAGGGAAGAACAUAUGUGUAAGUAACUGUGCACAUCUUGACGGUACCUAAUCAGAAAGCCACGGCUAACUACGUG